ncrna:unclassified sequences C4 antisense RNA
GUCUAUGGUGGUCAUGUACAGGGCGUCUCCGGGCGCGCCGGCUCCUAACACCCGGUCUACCAACCUGUUCAUGGCCGCCACCCUA